UACGGAGGGGGCUAGCGUUGCUCGGAAUCACUGGGCGUAAAGGGUGCGUAGGCGGGAUCUUAAGUCAGAGGUGAAAGCCUGGAGCUCAACUCCAGAACUGCCUUUGAUACUGGGAUUCUUGAGUUCAGAGAGGUGAGCGGAACUGCGAGUGUAGAGGUGAAAUUCGUAGAUAUUCGCAAGAACACCAGUGGCGAAGGCGGCUCACUGGCUCGAUACUGACGCUGAGGCACGAAAGCGUGGGUAGCAAACAGG
rnacentral:rRNA from 1 species